CACAUGCAAGUCGAACGGUGAAGCAGAGCUUGCUCUGUGGAUCAGUGGCGAACGGGUGAGUAACACGUGAGCAACCUGCCCUUGACUCUGGGAUAAGCGCUGGAAACGGCGUCUAAUACCGGAUAUGAGCUGCGAUCGCAUGGUCAGCAGUUGGAAAGAUUUUUCGGUCUGGGAUGGGCUCACGGCCUAUCAGCUUGUUGGUGAGGUAAUGGCUCACCAAGGCGUCGACGGGUAGCCGGCCUGAGAGGGUGACCGGCCACACUGGGACUGAGACACGGCCCAGACUCCUACGGGAGGCAGCAGUGGGGAAUAUUGCACAAUGGGCGAAAGCCUGAUGCAGCAACGCCGCGUGAGGGAUGACGGCCUUCGGGUUGUAAACCUCUUUUAGCAGGGAAGAAGCGAAAGUGACGGUACCUGCAGAAAAAGCGCCGGCUAACUACGUGCCAGCAGCCGCGGUAAUACGUAGGGCGCAAGCGUUAUCCGGAAUUAUUGGGCGUAAAGAGCUCGUAGGCGGUUUGUCGCGUCUGCUGUGAAAUCCCGAGGCUCAACCUCGGGUCUGCAGUGGGUACGGGCAGACUAGAGUGCGGUAGGGGAGAUUGGAAUUCCUGGUGUAGCGGUGGAAUGCGCAGAUAUCAGGAGGAACACCGAUGGCGAAGGCAGAUCUCUGGGCCGUUACUGACGCU
rnacentral:rRNA from 1 species